rnacentral:antisense_RNA from 1 species
CUUGACGGCGCCGAGCAGCAGGGGCCGGUCCGCCGGCCGGCCCUGGCCGUAGGUGGCCAGCACGGCGUGGGCCUC